rnacentral:rRNA from 1 species
AUUGAACGCUGGCGGCAGGCUUAACACAUGCAAGUCGAGCGGGGUGAUGGUGCUUGCACUAUCACUUAGCGGCGGACGGGUGAGUAAUGCUUAGGAAUCUGCCUAUUAGUGGGGGACAACAUCUCGAAAGGGAUGCUAAUACCGCAUACGUCCUACUGGAGAAAGCAGGGGAUCACUUGUGACCUUGCGCUAAUAGAUGAGCCUAAGUCGGAUUAGCUAGUUGGUGGGGUAAAGGCCUACCAAGGCGACGAUCUGUAGCGGGUCUGAGAGGAUGAUCCGCCACACUGGGACUGAGACACGGCCCAGACUCCUACGGGAGGCAGCAGUGGGGAAUAUUGAACAAUGGGGGGAACCCUGAUCCAGCCAUGCCGCGUGUGUGAAGAAGGCCUUAUGGUUGUAAAGCACUUUAAGCGAGGAGGAGGCUACUUUAGUUAAUACCUAGAGAUAGUGGACGUUACUCGCAGAAUAAGCACCGGCUAACUCUGUGCCAGCAGCCGCCGUAA